ACUAAUGUCAAAAUUAUACUAAAACGGAACGUACCGCUUCUGAUUUUGUGUUGUGUAUUGUGUGAAAAUAACUUUUUUUGAUGUUUUACUAUUUUAAUGUACAAAAUGUCUGCACCAUCGGAAUUGAGUUUUGAUGAAAUACUCAAGUUUAUGUUGGUACAUAAUGGCAGAGUCACCAACCAUGAGCUAGUCAAGCAUUUCAAAGUGUUUCUCAAGAAUCCAGAUAUGAGAGAUGAAGCUCGGAGCACAUUUAAGAAACAUGUUAAUACCCUUGCAAAUAUUAAAAAUCAAGAUAAUGAGAAAUGGUUGAUCCUUAAAAAAAAGUAUAUGCCAAGUGGCAAAGAAUCGGAAGAAGAUGUUACUGAGAUCAAAGUUAAUGAUCCUGUACCAGUUACUACACCAGAUCCUAUUAUGGACUGUAGACCAGAACCUGAACCAGUUCCCUACCGACCUCCACCACCGGUUCAACUUAACCAAGACUUCAGCAUAUUGAAUAAUUUGAUUCAAGACAGUACCAAUGGCAGGAAUUCUCAGGAAUACAUAUUAAAACAGUCUAAUGAAGACAACAGUAACUCUGUUAUCCAAUCUCCGAAUAUGACAGACACCCCUAUGGAAGAGGAUGGACCUCCUAAAGUUUUUCCUCGUCGUAGGUCAGCAGAUAAAAUAUCAAAUGAAAAACGUUCAAGCAUACCUGGACCAGACCAAAGAACGUCUAUUCCAAAUCAUGAAACAUUGAAUGAGGAACCUAUGUCACCGGCACUAACAACAUCCCGGAGUGAGAGCAUGCUUGUGGAUAGUGAACAGAAAAUCUCUGUGAAAGAACGGAAGCAAAUGUUUAAUAGAAUGGCUUCGGAAAGUGAUGACUUGAAAUCUAACAAACUUGGUGUCAACUUUAGUAUGCAGGGUGUAGACGAGGAGGACCGGGUGUCGAGCAAGAGUGAAAACGAACCACUGGACAAUAAGCAAAAACAGUGGAUACUGUGUGCGGCGCGAGGCGAGUACCAUGCUCUCGCCAAGAUGUGUAAAGAAAACGCCAAGCUAGCUAAAACUAAGGAUUCAUUUACGGUAAGAUCCGGUGGUAUAGGUAGAGGUAUUAUAACAAUUGUAAUAAUAUAAUAUUAAUGCAAUCUGUCAUUGGAUGUUGGACCGUAAUAGGAUUUAAAUAUGAAUGUGGCACCUUUUGUUGAAUUUGUUGAAGUUGAAUGGUGAAACAAAAUUGAGAUAUCCUCUAUUUUCAUUAUUUUGCCUACAAAAAAUUCUGCAAUCAACGAAUUGGAAAGGUUUAUUUUUAAAUAUUUUCAAAAAUAUUUUAAGUAAAUAUAUAUGCCAUAUUAGUCCAUGUAGUUAUGUAUUCCAAGCGCGUAAGCUCAAGUUGGUUCUAACUACACAUAGAGUGAUUAAUUUUGACAACUUAUUUUUCUAGCAAUGUUUUUCUAUAAUAUAAUUCCUUAUAACGGCUCUCUUGCUCUCUAUCAUAGCUUCUUUAUCAAAAACAUUAACUUCACCAUUAUGUUUUCCGGUACCACGUCGCUGCGGGGGGCUACAGGGUGUAAGUAUAAUUCUUAUUUAUUAUACCUUACUGUUUAACCGAAAGUCGAUUUUUGGCCGAAGACAAAGCUGUGUCUGCUGUCUGAGUAUUAAAAAUCUCUAAAAAAACUCACUUCAAGUUUGGCCAAAUAAGUACCUAACUAUAUUUUGAACUACAUAACGGUACGCAAUAAAAAUUGAAUCUACAAAAUAAAAUAUUAGUUCUAUUUUGCCGCUGACUGCUAAUACCUUCGUUGAGUAGUGACCAAUUUUGGUUAGUUAUUGGGCCGAAAUCCGAACUAUGCGGUUGGACACAAAUGUAUAUAUUAGUUAUGUAUAGGGCUUGGAAACAGUAGAUUUUGAUAUAAGGAAAACGCAAAUAAGUGCUUUAUAUAAAAAGCGGAAAUUAAAAAAAUCAACCGUUGGCCUAAAAUAGACAGCGUUUGGCAGAGGGGCUUUUAGUUUGCAAUUAUUAUAUUAUUUGGAUAAUAAUAUAAUAAUUGCAAACUAAAAGCCAACAAGGAAUCAACGUUCAGACGGUCAGACAUACAUAGGUUCUGUACAUAUUAACGAAGCGGUGUUAUGGCGACGCCCGCCUGUGAGCAGAAAGGUACCAGGUUCGGAUCUUAUUCGUGCCACAUGGGUUUGUAUACCAUUCUGACAUGUAUAGUAAUUUUCAUCGACCACUACUUGCUUCCGGUGAAAGGAAACAAAACAAGGAUGAGGAAUCCUGCAUUCUGGUUGUGUCAACUUGUGUGUGAAAUGAGAAUGCAAUGGUAAACCACUCCAAUAAUAGUGCCAAGAAAGUCGUCAUUGUGUGUUUCAUUCCAUUUAAUAAGUACGACCCUCAUUUAGCAGGAAUACGUCUAUAAAGAAGAAGAGACGUUUCGUAGUUGAUAUGUGUAAUAAUUACUUUGAUUUUCAUAGUAUUUGUAAAAUAGACAAAGUUAUAUAGUUUCGGGUACUUUAUCUCGCUCGAACCAGUUCUUUCUGUACUUUGGAGUAUUACAUAUAACUUAAUCAAGUGACUAAGAUCAAGACAGUAGCAAUUUGCACGCAUUAGUACGUUCAUCGCCAUAGCUGUCAGUCUAUGCAUAAUGACAUAUACUCUGUGACAAGACGAUAAUUAGCCGGGCUGAAGACGCAUCGUUCUGGUGAUCCUAAUUGACAUACAUGCAAACGCAAUCAAUAUGAGUUGCUAGCGGAUAUUGCUAGCAAGAGGACAACCCAUAAGCUCCACUUGGAAUAUAUCACUCGGCUAAACAAUAGGCCUCAUUUACACAGUAGAAUUUAUAAGAAAAUUGAAAACAUAAAUACUAAAUAAAUCAAUGACAUGUAAUUAUUAUCAAAUCUCUAGGAAACGAAGAAGCUAAGAUGCCACAAAAACAGUCUUAGAGCGCACAACUUGGUUUUUGAUACUCUACUUUUCUUCUUUGUCGUCUGGCCAAAACGAGAACUUCUGAAUUUAGUCUUUUCAAUGUACUUGUCUUGGUGAACAGUCUUAUCAGUCCUUAAAUUUUUCCUAUAUGGAAGUAGAAUAUAUUAUAGUAAUAAAUUUUAUUAUUACCAUUCUAUGACGAAUCUCAACCAAAUAAUCUCAAUUGAAAGAUAACUCAUCGAUUGGAUGUAUAAAAAAUAGUAUCCAGGAUGGCAAUAGCAAUAAGAUCAAUUUGCUUUUGUUAAAGUGCGAUCGAUCUAUGUGGCUUUAGUCACACCGCAGCGUAACCAGUAACUAUUUCAGUAGAAAUGAAUUAAAGAAAUUAAAAUAGUUCGAAGUUUCAAGAAAAUAAAUCAAGAAUAUUAUGAUAAUAGCUUAGGAUUUAUUGUUCUGUAAAAUGUUAAUUAAUUACAUGAUGUUUACAAGAAAUGAUCCAAUCUUUAUCGAUAUUUCUAUUAUGUAUUAAUGGCAUUUAAUUUUAUCUUCAAAAUGUUUAGAUAUGUGCACAACUAAAUUGCGUGCGAUUUUGAUCACCUUAAAUUACAUUCAGUAACCAAAUUGCCAGUAAAAUACUUAAAAUGCUAGCUCAUCAAAUUCUCUGCUUGCCUUAUUUAUUUUUGAAAAUUGAUAUAAUAAUGUUGUAUGUGUUCUUAGCAUACAAUGUAGGUAUACCUUUUUUAAUUUCUAUAUCAGAUUAAAGAUAUUGAAUGCUUCGAUGUUAUUGCUGUCAAGCAAGUGUGAGCCGUUGGUCACAAAACACGAAUACGCUUUUGAAACGGCUAAAUAAAAUCGUCUAUAACAAUUUACACUUUAAAGUGGACGGAAGUCAAAUAAUUUUAUAGCCUCUAAAACGGUAGAUGAUUUCAAAACUAUUUUACCUCUCCUAGUUGACAUCCAAGAUUCUUUUUAAUUUAAUACGGAAAUUAUGUCCAUUUCCGACGAUGAAAACACUCAAAUUAAAAUUAGUUUUGCACGCAUUUAUACUGGUAAACAAUUACCUACCAUAUUUCGGUUUGUCAUUAAUUUAUACACUUUGAAAUGAAUACAAAAACUUAACUGAUGCAAGUUUUUCGAAAGCCUAUGAUAACCCCAUUCGAACAGUGCAUUGUUUAAAAAUAUCAGAGGCAGAUUAACAAGUUAAUCAAAAUAUCUUCAUAAGAACAUGGGAAGGAUGAUAUACGUAGGAAAUAGCGGACGUCUUUCGGAUGCAUAAAAUUCUUGUAAGCGAUAACGACUCACCCAGAAGAUUUAUUUUCAGGCAAAUUAUAAAGCCACUCUGUGCGCGCAUAAUCCCGCCUCGAAUUUAUUAGCUAAACCCACAAUAAAUUAGUAAAUUCGGCCGUCGGUUGACCCGGAAACGCUUUAAUGAGCCCUUUUUUGUUUAAAGGGACAUUUUUGUGCAGGAUGUCCAAAACUAGCGUAUUAAUGGCCGGCCGUGUCCGUCCAUGUGUGUGUAAAGUCACUUGUAAUACAUGGACAAAGCAAAUUUAAACAUAACUAUCAACACAAUGUAGUAAAUUAAACAAAAAAAAUCACAAAUAUUUUUUUUUCUAAAUCAGAUAGACACCUAGGUAAAAAGUGCUUAAAUCGAAUUGCAUAAUUAUUUAUCGGACCCGCGCGCGGGGCUCUUUCUAAUCUAUGAUAUGAUCUAUGCAAUUACUAAUUUAUUUAUUUUUUAUUUUCACAUGGUGACCCCAAUCUGCAAUGGACGUGUGAAAGCAGUAUACGGCGAUGCACUGGGCAUGCAAGCGCGGCGAUGAGAACCUUGUCAAAUUGCUGGCUGGAGUGGCUCGGCAUCUGGUCAAUGAACGAUCG